GCUGGGCAUGGUGGCACAUGCCUGUAGUCCCAGCUACUCUGGAGGCUGAGGCAGGAGAAUCACUUGAACCCAGGCCACGGAGGAUGCAGUGAGCCAAGAUCACGCCACUGCACUCCAGCCUGGGUGACAGAGUGAGACUCUGUCUCAA
ensembl:misc_RNA Metazoa_SRP Metazoan signal recognition particle RNA